AGAGACAGAAACCUGCGGCAAUGGAGAAAAUGCUAAUACAGACAUCUUACUUCAGUGUCUGGCAAACAAGAUUAUACACUGAGGACGAUGUAGACGUCAGCUUCCCUGACGAGGGAAGCUGCAGCUUUCUGAUGAUUCCUGAAGCCUACAUUCUAUUAAUUUCCCCGAAGAGCCCUAUUGCCUAAUGGAACAUUGUGAGAAUGGCCAGUCUGGAAAGCAGGAUCAGUGGAGCUGGCUUCUGGCUCACUGGCUUUCAGCUGAGCCUUCCAAAUGGCUGGGAAUGAACAUCCAGUUAGAAGCCUCGGUUUGGAACAGUGGUUCUCAGACUUCAUGGUGUGUGACAGUCACUGGGGAACUUGUCCAAACACAGAUUGACAGACCCCAUCCCAAAGUUUCUGAUUCAGCGGCUCUAGGGAGGGCCCUAAGAACACGAGCUCCUCUUCCCAAGCUCCCAGGUGACGCUGAGGUUGCUGCCCCGGGAGCCCACUUUGAGAACUGCUGAUCUAGGGUGUGCUGGGGUAACUCUGGCUGUCAGAGGGGUCAGGACACUUGGUCUCCUUCUCUUUGGUCUCACUGAGAAUGUGAAUGUGAAUGGCCUUUUGAGGCCACUUGCACUGAGUCCUCUACAGGGCACACUGGACGGCGGGGGAGCGUCUGGAAGGGGUCUGCACACCGGCUUGCAGCCUCAGUGAUGCUCAUCUAGUGCGGGUCCUGCGUGGUCCCCAGAGGAACCCAGUGAGAAAUCCGGAGGAGACGGACAGAGAGGAGGAUGACUUCCUUUUGUAUUACAACGUCAUGAUUACAAAUAAUCAUAAUAGAGUGCCCAUUUUAAAGUGGCCUUUCCCUCCAAGCACACAGGAGACUCCCUCAGAUUCCCUAGGAAACCAAAGAAAUACUGAAUCUACUCCACAAAAGAACUAGGACGCACGUGUCUAUCCCGGUCUCUGGUCUCUUGUCCAGCGAUAGCAUCCUCCGGGCUGCGUGAACUCAGCUUGGGGCUGUGAAGGGACAGCCGUAUAUCUUGUCACCGAGGGCCACCGCAAUGGGGAGCUGCACCUGACACAUUUACAUUUCACAAAGAUAUCUGCCACUCCGUGGACACGGACCAGCAAGAGGCUUGGAUGACCUAGGAUUCUGAUGAUGUAUUCUCCAUUUCAAUUCUAGACUGUGUGCAAACUUCAUUCUUUCUUCUACGUUCUUUAGUUAUGACUAUUACAGGAGAAAGGAAAAAAUCGAAGGUGAAGGAAGCAAAGACAGAAAGGAAGGACGGUUUGGUGGCCAGAGCGAGGUCUUCCCACGUCACUCCCGGGACGUGUGCUGACGCGUUGCUCCUCCGUCCUGCAGAACGCCGUGGGUCGUGGCAGCAGCUGCAGCUGUUUCACAGGCUGUCCUCCCUGUAGACUAAGCAUCUACUCCGCGCUAUAGGGCAAUGCGAGACAAAAAAGACCCCCGGGAGCUUGCCAUCCAGCUGAGGAAGCCUAAUUAGCCACGCUUCCUGUAGCAUACAGUGGUCACUUUCUCCUCCAUGGAAGUAUGUCUGGGCCCACGCACCCCACUGCUUCCAGAGCCUCCACGCGCUGUGUGUCCCCCGUGGCGCUUUGCUUGCCACCGAGCCCUGCGUCUUGAGAACUCUGAACGGUUUGUUGUAGUCAAGACACUCGGAGAUCCUAGAGACGCGAAAAGCAGGAGGGGAACGUGUGACGGCCACUGCGAGGCUCAGGGAGAAUUUAAUUCAAAUUUGGAUUUUUCUCACUCUUACGCUUUGGGGCAAUACUGUUAAAUGGUAAAUAUAUAGCCAUUGUAUGAACAGCAAUACACAAAGGAGUUAUUUGGAAAUGAAAGCCUUAUUGAAG
ensembl:lncRNA PACRG-AS1 PACRG antisense RNA 1